UGGGGAAUAUUGCACAAUGGGCGCAAGCCUGAUGCAGCCAUGCCGCGUGUGUGAAGAAGGCCUUCGGGUUGUAAAGCACUUUCAGCGGGGAGGAAGGCGUUAAGGUUAAUAACCUUGGCGAUUGACGUUACCCGCAGAAGAAGCACCGGCUAACUCCGUGCCAGCAGCCGCGGUAAUACGGAGGGUGCAAGCGUUAAUCGGAAUUACUGGGCGGAAAGCGCACGCAGGCGGUCUGUCAAGUCGGGUGUGAAAUCCCCGGGCUUAACCUGGGAACUGCAUUCGAAACUGGCAGGCUAGAGUCUUGUAGAGGGGGGUAGAAUUCCGGGUGUAGCGGUGAAAUGCGUAGAGAUCUGGAGGAAUACCGGUGGCGAAGGCGGCCCCCUGGACAAGGACUGACGCUAAGGUGCGAAAGCGUGGGGAGCAAACAGG
rnacentral:rRNA from 1 species